rnacentral:rRNA from 2 species
UCAUCUGGAAACUGGGAAACUUGAGUGCAGAAGAGGACAGUGGAACUCCAUGUGUAGCGGUGAAAUGCGUAGAUAUAUGGAAGAACACCAGUGGCGAAGGCGGCUGUCUGGUCUGUAACUGACGCUGAGGCUCGAAAGUAUGGGUAGCAAACAGGAUUAGAUACCCUGGUAGUCCAUACCGUAAACGAUGAGUGCUAAGUGUUGGAGGGUUUCCGCCCUUCAGUGCUGCAGCUAACGCAUUAAGCAUUCCGCCUGGGGAGUACGACCGCAAGGUUGAAACUCAAAGGAAUUGACGGGGGCCCGCACAAGCGGUGGAGCAUGUGGUUUAAUUCGAAGCUACGCGAAGAACCUUACCAGGUCUUGACAUCCUAUGCACAUUUAAGAGAUUGGACGUUCCCUUCGGGGACAAAGAUACAGGUGGUGCAUGGUUGUCGUCAGCUCGUGUCGUGAGAUGUUGGGUUAAGUCCCGCAACGAGCGCAACCCUUAUUAUCAGUUGCCAGCAUUAAGUUGGGCACUCUGGCAAGACUGCCGGUGACAAACCGGAGGAAGGUGGGGAUGACGUCAAAUCAUCAUGCCCCUUAUGACCUGGGCUACACACGUGCUACAAUGGAAAGUACAACGAGUUGCGAACUCGCGAGGGUAAGCUAAUCUCUUAAAGCUUUUCUCAGUUCGGAUUGUAGGCUGCAACUCGCCUGCAUGAAGCCGGAAUCGCUAGUAAUCGCGGAUCAGCAUGCCGCGGUGAAUACGUUCCCGGGCCUUGUACACACCGCCCGUCACACCAUGAGAGUUUGUAACACCCAGAAGUCGGUGGAGGUAACCUUUAUGGAAGCCAGCCGCCUAAGGUGGACUAGAUGAUAGUUGA